rnacentral:rRNA from 1 species
GCAGCCUGAUGCAGCAACGCCGCGUGGGGGAUGACGGCCUUCGGGUUGUAAACCUCUUUUAGUAGGGAAGAAGGACUUCGGUUUGACGGUACCUGCAGAAAAAGCACCGGCUAACUACGUGCCAGCAGCCGCGGUAAUACGUAGGGUGCAAGCGUUGUCCGGAAUUAUUGGGCGUAAAGAGCUCGUAGGCGGUUUGUCGCGUCUGCUGUGAAAACCCGAGGCUCAACCUCGGGCCUGCAGUGGGUACGGGCAGACUAGAGUGCGGUAGGGGAGAAUGGAAUUCCUGGUGUAGCGGUGGAAUGCGCAGAUAUCAGGAGGAACACCGAUGGCGAAGGCAGUUCUCUGGGCCGUAACUGACGCUGAGGAGCGAAAGCGUGGGGAGCGAACAGGAUUAGAUACCCUGGUAGUCCACGCCGUAAACGUUGGGCGCUAGAUGUGGGGACCUUUCCACGGUUUCCGUGUCGCAGCUAACGCAUUAAGCGCCCCGCCUGGGGAGUACGGCCGCAAGGCUAAAACUCAAAGGAAUUGACGGGGGCCCGCACAAGCGGCGGAGCAUGCGGAUUAAUUCGAUGCAACGCGAAGAACCUUACCAAGGCUUGACAUAUACCGGAAACUUCCAGAAAUGGUUGCCCCGC